UGUGAGAGUGAUGAGUUGCACUGAUCAGUCGGGGUGUGUGUUGCAGUGGCAACAGCACCUCGAUCCGACCCAACCUGCGGACACACAAUGUGCACAGGGGCCAUCUGACUCAAC
ensembl:snoRNA